GAAGCCAAGCAGCAUGUGGCAAGGGAAUCCCUGCCUGAAGACCCUGAUAGGUCAAGAGGCUGUGAGAUGCCGUCAUGUGAAGCUAUGAAAGUGAAGCUUGACUUACAGUGGAGACUCCAAGAUACUGGAGAUGCCAGAGCCAUGAGACAUCUACCAUAACAUGGAGAGCUGCAUACAGGGCUCUCACCCCAAGGACAGCAUCACAAACAAACACAUUACGCUAAAAGGAGAAGCAGAAUUCUGGCAACUACACCAAUUUCAUGGCUAGCAUAUGCGGUAACUUCUAACAAAGCCGUGUCAGCCACUCACUGCAUAUUGGCGAAUUCCAAGAAAAAGUUUCCUAAAGGUUGAAAUUGUCAGUUUUCUCUUCCUCGAUUGAAAGAUUCUUAUAAUCACCUAGAGAUAUUGAUAUCAGCAAUUCUCAACAGGAAGUCAAUGGGAGAACUCAAAUGCAGUCCCUCACUACCACAAAUUAUGCAGUCAAGUUUCCAGCAUUUGGGGAAAUCGCAGGGGUCAGCACAUCCAGAGUGCAAUAGAUAAGCCUUGCCCUGAGAAAACCACCUUCAUAAUCAUGGUAUCUCCCCUGCCAGGUAAGUAUGUGUGUAAUAUUCUUAUUGGCACAGUGGUUCUGUUUUAAUUCUGAAAAUCCAUACUAUUUACCACAAAAGACAACAGAAACAAUUUUUUAAGUAAUUACCUUUACAUUUUAUUCCUGAGAAUUGAUUCAAACUAGAUUUGUCUUUGACUCAUGAGAGUUUGUCUUAGUCUUCUCUUUCUGUUGGUUGUUGUUUGUUUAAAGGAAUGGGGUCUUGCUCAGGCUGGCCUCAAAGGCCUGGGCUCAACAAACUCGUCUCAGCCUCCUAAGUAACUGGAAGCAUAUGCCACCUUGCCCAGAUUAUCUCAUUUCUUCAUUUUGGACCUUAAGUAUGCUUUCAUUUUGAAAAUAUUUCCUAUAUUAACACUAGUAAGUUAAAACACAGAUUUUUUUUUCUUGACUUCUAAAUGCAAAAGUUGAUAAAACGUCUUCAAAGAGAGUGGGGUAUGCCAGCUCUCACAUUUCAGAAGGAGCACCCACUAAAACGAUGAACGAAGAAAGAUAACAUCAGGAUGGAGAACAAAUGGAACAUCGCACAUUGCUGAUAGCAAACAAAAUGGUACUGCCGUUCUGGGAAAGCAUUUGGGAAAGUCCAUCUAGGUUAACUCACCAGGGACCUCAAACUCCUGGAGCCAACAUCAACAAACCUUUCUGUUAAAGGACAAAAUAGGGACUCUGAUAGACUUGUGAGUCACACUUAGACGACCUCUCAACUCUGUCAUUGCAUGAAUGACAUGUAUUUCAAUAUAAUUUUGCUGAUGAAAACAGCCUA